UGGGGAAGUUUUCCGUCAAUGGGCGAAAGCCUGACGGAGCAAUGCCGCGUGGAGGUGGAAGGCCUACGGGUCGUCAACUUCUUUUCUCGGAGAAGAAACAAUGACGGUAUCUGAGGAAUAAGCAUCGGCUAACUCUGUGCCAA
rnacentral:rRNA from 1 species